rnacentral:tRNA from 1 species
CAUUAGAUGACUGAAUGUAAGUUAUGGUCUCUUAAACCAUUUUAUAAUAGAUUAACAACUAUUUCUAAUG